rnacentral:rRNA from 1 species
GGAUGUAGGCGAUGGGUAGGCAAAUCCGCCCGUCAUAUACCGAGGCCAAUGAUCGAGCCAGCUUGCUGGUGAAGUGACUGAACGAGGUUCCAGGAAAAGCCACUAAGCUUCAGCUACACACGACCGUACCGCAAACCGACACUGGUGCGCGAGAUGAGUAUUCUAAGGCGCUUGAGAGAACUCAGGAGAAGGAACUCGGCAAAUUGACACCGUAACUUCGGAAGAAGGUGUGCCCUAGUAGUGUGAAGUGAACAACGGAGCAUGAAUGGGUUGCAAAAAAUCGGUGGCUGCGACUGUUUAUUAAAAACACAGCACUCUGCAAACACGAAAGUGGACGUAUAGGGUGUGACGCCUGCCCGGUGCUGGAAGAUUAAAUGAUGGGGUGCAAGCUCUUGAUUGAAGUCCCAGUAAACGGCGGCCGUAACAAUAACGGUCCUAAGGUAGCGAAAUUCCUUGUCGGGUAAGUUCCGACCUGCACGAAUGGCGUAACGAUGGCCACACUGUCUCCUCCUGAGACUCAGCGAAGUUGAAAUGUUUGUGAUGAUGCAAUCUCCCCGCGGAAAGACGGAAAGACCCCAUGAACCUUUACUGUAGCUUUGUAUUGGACUUUGAACAGAUCUGUGUAGGAUAGGUGGGAGGCUUUGAAGCAGGGUCGCUAGAUCUUGUGGGGCCAACGUUGAAAUACCACCCUGGUGUGUUUGAGGUUCUAACCUAGGUCCAUUAUCUGGAUCGGGGACAGUGCAUGGUAGGCAGUUUGACUGGGGCGGUCUCCUCCCAAAGCGUAACGGAGGAGUUCGAAGGUACGCUAGUUACGGUCGGACAUCGUGACGAUAGUGCAAUGGCAUAAGCGUGCUUAACUGCGAGACUGACAAGUCGAGCAGAUGCGAAAGCAGGACAUAGUGAUCGGUGGUUCUGUAUGGAAGGGCCAUCGCUCAACGGAUAAAAGGUACUCUGGGGAUAACAGGCUGAUACCGCCCAAGAGUUCAUAUCGACGGCGGUGUUUGGCACCUCGAUGUCGGCUCAUCUCAUCCUGGGGCUGUAGCCGGUCCCAAGGGUAUGGCUGUUCGCCAUUUAAAGAGGUACGUGAGCUGGGUUUAAAACGUCGUGAGACAGUUUGGUCCCUAUCUUCCGUGGGCGCUGCAGAUUUGAGGAAGCCUGCUCCUAGUACGAGAGGGCCGGAGUGGACACACCUCUGGUGUAUCGGUUGUCACGCCAGUGGCAUUGCCGAGUAGCUAAGUGUGGAAGAGAUAACCGCUGAAAGCAUCUAAGCGGGAAACUCGUUUCAAGAUGAGAUCUGCCGGGGCCUUGAGCCCCCUGAAGAGUCGUUCAAGACCAGGACGUUGAUAGGUCAGGUGUGGAAGCGCAGUAAUGCGUUAAGCUAACUGAUACUAAUUGCUCGUGCGGCUUGACC